rnacentral:rRNA from 1 species
GAUGAACGCUAGCUACAGGCUUAACACAUGCAAGUCGAGGGACCGGCGCACGGGUGAGUAACGCGUAUCCAACCUUCCAAUUACUGUGGGAUAACCUGCCGCAAGGCAGACUAAUACCGCAUGGUAAUGGAAGGGGGGGCGUCGGAUUAGCUUGUUGGCGGGGGAACGACCCACCAAGGCGACGCUCAGUAGGGGUUCUGAGAGGAAGGCACCCCAUAUGGGAACUGAGACGCGGUCCAAAAUCGUACGCGAGGCAGCAGUGAGGAAUAUUGGUCAAUGGGCGAGAGCCUGAACCAGCCAAGUAGCGGGCAGGAUGACGGCCUAUGGGUUGUAAACUGCUUUUGUAUGGGGAUAGGUACCCUACGAAUAAGGACCGGCUAAUUCCGUGCCAGCAGCCGCGGUAAUUC